AAAAAGAUAAGCUAAAAAAGCUUUUGGGCUCAUACCUCAAAUAUGAACACUUUGUUCUCUUUUUA
rnacentral:tRNA from 1 species